rnacentral:rRNA from 1 species
ACACGACUACAUUAGACUACCCCCGUAGUCCCAGCCGUAAACUAUGCGCGUUAGGUGUAUCGGUGACCACGAGUCACCGAGGUGCCGAAGGGAAACCGUGAAACGUGCCGCCGUGGGAAGUACGGUCGCAAGGCUAGAAACUUAAAGGAAUUGGCGGGGAGCACCACAACGGGUGGAGCCUGCGGUUUAAUUGGACUCAACGCCGGGAAGCUCACCGGAUAAGACAGCGGAAUGAUUGCCGGGCUGAAGACUCUGCAUGACUAGCUG